UCCUACGGGGGGCAGCAGUGAGGAAUAUUGGUCAAUGGGCGGGAGCCUGAACCAGCCAAGCCGCGUGAGGGAAGAAGGUACAGCGUAUCGUAAACCUCUUUUGUCAGGGAACAAAGGCGGGGACUAGUCCCCGGAUGAGGGUACCUGAAGAAAAAGCAUCGGCUAACUCCGUGCCAGCAGCCGCGGUAAUACGGAGGAUGCGAGCGUUAUCCGGAUUUAUUGGGUUUAAAGGGUGCGCAGGCGGCCUGUUAAGCCAGCGGUAAAAGCCCGGGGCUCAACCCCGUCGAGCCGUUGAAACUGGCAGG
rnacentral:rRNA from 1 species